UUAAGCGACUAAGCGUACACGGUGGAUGCCCUGGCAGUCAGAGGCGAUGAAGGACGUGCUAAUCUGCGAUAAGCGUCGGUAAGGUGAUAUGAACCGUUAUAACCGGCGAUUUCCGAAUGGGGAAACCCAGUGUGUUUCGACACACUAUCAUUAACUGAAUCCAUAGGUUAAUGAGGCGAACCGGGGGAACUGAAACAUCUAAGUACCCCGAGGAAAAGAAAUCAACCGAGAUUCCCCCAGUAGCGGCGAGCGAACGGGGAGCAGCCCAGAGCCUGAAUCAGUGUGUGUGUUAGUGGAAGCGUCUGGAAAGGCGCGCGAUACAGGGUGACAGCCCCGUACACAAAAAUGCACAUACUGUGAGCUCGAUGAGUAGGGCGGGACACGUGGUAUCCUGUCUGAAUAUGGGGGGACCAUCCUCCAAGGCUAAAUACUCCUGACUGACCGAUAGUGAACCAGUACCGUGAGGGAAAGGCGAAAAGAACCCCGGCGAGGGGAGUGAAAAAGAACCUGAAACCGUGUACGUACAAGCAGUGGGAGCACGCUUAGGCGUGUGACUGCGUACCUUUUGUAUAAUGGGUCAGCGACUUAUAUUCUGUAGCAAGGUUAACCGAAUAGGGGAGCCGAAGGGAAACCGAGUCUUAACUGGGCGUUAAGUUGCAGGGUAUAGACCCGAAACCCGGUGAUCUAGCCAUGGGCAGGUUGAAGGUUGGGUAACACUAACUGGAGGACCGAACCGACUAAUGUUGAAAAAUUAGCGGAUGACUUGUGGCUGGGGGUGAAAGGCCAAUCAAACCGGGAGAUAGCUGGUUCUCCCCGAAAGCUAUUUAGGUAGCGCCUCGUGAAUUCAUCUCCGGGGGUAGAGCACUGUUUCGGCAAGGGGGUCAUCCCGACUUACCAACCCGAUGCAAACUGCGAAUACCGGAGAAUGUUAUCACGGGAGACACACGGCGGGUGCUAACGUCCGUCGUGAAGAGGGAAACAACCCAGACCGCCAGCUAAGGUCCCAAAGUCAUGGUUAAGUGGGAAACGAUGUGGGAAGGCCCAGACAGCCAGGAUGUUGGCUUAGAAGCAGCCAUCAUUUAAAGAAAGCGUAAUAGCUCACUGGUCGAGUCGGCCUGCGCGGAAGAUGUAACGGGGCUAAACCAUGCACCGAAGCUGCGGCAGCGACGCUUAUGCGUUGUUGGGUAGGGGAGCGUUCUGUAAGCCUGCGAAGGUGUGCUGUGAGGCAUGCUGGAGGUAUCAGAAGUGCGAAUGCUGACAUAAGUAACGAUAAAGCGGGUGAAAAGCCCGCUCGCCGGAAGACCAAGGGUUCCUGUCCAACGUUAAUCGGGGCAGGGUGAGUCGACCCCUAAGGCGAGGCCGAAAGGCGUAGUCGAUGGGAAACAGGUUAAUAUUCCUGUACUUGGUGUUACUGCGAAGGGGGGACGGAGAAGGCUAUGUUGGCCGGGCGACGGUUGUCCCGGUUUAAGCGUGUAGGCUGGUUUUCCAGGCAAAUCCGGAAAAUCAAGGCUGAGGCGUGAUGACGAGGCACUACGGUGCUGAAGCAACAAAUGCCCUGCUUCCAGGAAAAGCCUCUAAGCAUCAGGUAACAUCAAAUCGUACCCCAAACCGACACAGGUGGUCAGGUAGAGAAUACCAAGGCGCUUGAGAGAACUCGGGUGAAGGAACUAGGCAAAAUGGUGCCGUAACUUCGGGAGAAGGCACGCUGAUAUGUAGGUGAAGUCCCUCGCGGAUGGAGCUGAAAUCAGUCGAAGAUACCAGCUGGCUGCAACUGUUUAUUAAAAACACAGCACUGUGCAAACACGAAAGUGGACGUAUACGGUGUGACGCCUGCCCGGUGCCGGAAGGUUAAUUGAUGGGGUCAGCGCAAGCGAAGCUCUUGAUCGAAGCCCCGGUAAACGGCGGCCGUAACUAUAACGGUCCUAAGGUAGCGAAAUUCCUUGUCGGGUAAGUUCCGACCUGCACGAAUGGCGUAAUGAUGGCCAGGCUGUCUCCACCCGAGACUCAGUGAAAUUGAACUCGCUGUGAAGAUGCAGUGUACCCGCGGCAAGACGGAAAGACCCCGUGAACCUUUACUAUAGCUUGACACUGAACAUUGAGCCUUGAUGUGUAG
rnacentral:rRNA from 1 species